ensembl:lncRNA
AAGAAAAGUAGCCUGUGGCAAAGAAAACACAUUGUCACCAGCUAAGAGAGCUGCUGCUGGACGGAAGGCUCUAAUGGCUUUGCUAGAGAUGUCAACAGCUUUUGGAGAGAUGGAGAGUAUCAGCAUGAAACAAGAGCCUUAGAUCAAAAUAGCAACGUUCUGGCAUUUAAGGUCCUCUGCAAUGUGAAUCCAUUAAUGUUGAGGCACAACUGACCAUACACAAUUAGAAGGAAAUAAACAAGAUAGCCUCUCAGUUCCUCUAUCACCAAGAGAAAUAGCAACAACUCAACUGCUGAUUAGGAGCAAGGACGGCAGCUCAGAAGUCUGUUGACUGCUCUUCAGCUCCUGGACACAUAAAACCAUCGGGAUUCGUCUGAGAACUUCAGAAUUGCUGGAGAUGGCCCCCACAUCUAGAUGGUCUUUUUCCUGAAGACCUUUUAGAAAACCCAACAGGUAGGGGACAGAGCUCUCCAUCCUGCAUGGAUUUCUUGGCUGCUUUCUAUUUCCAACAGCAAUCAAUUGGGUGCCAUGAGAAAAGCAAAGACAAAUAGACUACAGUCCUUGUCCUCACAGUGCUUAUAAUCCGGCUGAUAAAACACAUUCACCUUAAAAAUGAAGUGCAUGUGCUGCAGUGUAUGAUUAAGUACCGGAUGAGUAGGUGAUCAAUCAAUGGUGUGUCAGGUUGUUAAUCUGCACACUGGUCUGCCAGCUACAGCUCAGUGCACAAUGACAUGAGUCAGGAUGCCAGGAGACUGUGGCUAAAAAUGACUCGAGGCAUUUAGAUGUGUAUAAUCAACCCAGAAAAGCAGGUAAAACAGGGCGGGGAGGCAAGGUAAGAGGAGGGGGACUCCUACUCCUCACCACCUUCCACUCACAGGACGCUUGUGCCUUGACUUCCCCUCCGGGCAGCCCUUUGUGAGAAGGAUCCUCCGUCUCUUUCCAUCCCCCACCUCAUUACAGGGCAGAGGUGUAUUUAAGUUCUUUUUCAUUUUUUUCAGCACAUUUCAGUUCUGCUUUUUGGCUUGUUCUAUCACAAGCUCAUUAAACAUGAUUUAAAAUAUUUUACCUUACCUCUUUGUUCAUCUAGUUCUUUAAAGUUUCCCUUCCCCACUUGGGUUUUAUUAUCACCUCUGCAUUCUAAUCAUGUUCCCAGCUGCAAAUAUCAUCACACAACCUUGUUUUAGCAAUUGGUCUCUUUUUCUUUUAUCUUCUAAUUGGAAUUUACCUUCAAAACCUUCCAAGACUCCUUCCUGCAGACGCCCCAUUUUAUUACCAGCCUUUCCUGUGAUUCACACCCUCUCAAGUUAAAGCUUUCUCCCUUCAGGAAGCCAAAUACUAGCUUUUUCUUUAAGUUUCUCUCUAUUCAGUUACUUAAUUCUUAGAAAGACCUGUAUUAAAACCUGAAUUCACCAUAAAAUGCACAGUUGAAGUUGUGACGAAAACCAGCUAAUUUCUAUGGGAUGAAAUGACAGUGUUCACCUUGACUCAAUCAUGGGAUAGACAUCUAUGAAGGAGAGUUGAAAGCAAAAAGAACAGAGUUUCUGUUUUAAAAAAGAAACUACACUUGAUUAUAAUGGUGUCUUAUGUGGGGUUUUUUUCCAAAUAAGAAACUAAAAAUAGAAAUUUUGUCUCUUCAAUGAUUUGCUAGUGAGCAGUGUCCAGAUGGCAAGGAACAAUUGACUAUUUAACUCUGUACAAAAAGACAGCCAAGUGUGAGCAUGUCAGCCCAUGACUCAAGGAAAGGCCGUAGAUGACUGUCCCCAGCUAGAGGCCAUGUGGGAAACAAGGAGGAACUUGUCCUUAUCAGGACCCACCAAGCGCCUUCCAAGAGUGGUGAUUGACAGGACAGGCUGCAGGGGCAACAAAAAGGGAGCUGAUCCUUCUCAGUUAUUCUUUUCGAAUUUUCCCACCACUGAGAAAAUGGGCCAAGGAUCCAUGCUGAGGAGGCAAUUGCUGCAUUUAGAAGCAGCAUCCUAGAAUUAACAUUCAGAAAGGCCAGGGGUGAGGGGACAAGCCUCAGAAGUGAAUUCUGAGAAAUUCCUGAACAUGGGGAAAGUGGAUGGGUCUAAGUACUAACUGAAUCUUCAGUCACACUUACCUAGAACUGAGAUACACUCUCAUCAAUGGGGAUUCAAUGUCUAUAAUCAGGACACCUGAAAAUUUGACACAAAAUAAUCAGUAGGUUGAUAUUCUUUAACCUUUACAAACAAUUUCCCUUUAAUAAUUGUGUGAAUUCAGAAGGAAAUAGAGCACUGGAAGGUGUAUAAGUCAUAGAAAGAAAUUCACAUGUAUUCACAGUGGAGGAGCGAAAAGCCCCGGAUUGGUGAGAAAUAGCUCAUCCAUCUUGGAAAGUCUCCUGAACGAAAUAGUAGGGCUUCCAUAUCUAGAGCAUCACUUAUGUCUUUUAUAACCACACUCACGCAAUUCCAUGUCUAUGUCAUGGAAUUAACAUGCAGGGUCAGUCUUCCAGAAAUCUGUAGUCAGCUGUAUGGAGCCUCUUUCUUGACCAUUAGACUCAUAGAGAAGGCCCUCACACUUAGUGGCUGUUUGAUAAGUAAGCAGAAAUGAUGAGAUUCUUCAUUAACAUCAUUAACUAGUCAAUAUUUGGUUUUGUCCCAGAUGGCUGCAUUUUGUUUGAGUGUGUGAGGGUUCUAACAAAUGCAGUUACUCCACUGAAGUCCGUGAUUCUGGGAGCUAAAACUCCAAGGGUGUGUCACUUACCUCAGUACCCAGUCAGGCAGGGUCUCUCUUCUUACAGAUGGAUGCAGGGCACCAAGGGGACUAAACACAUAGAAUCGGAAGAAUGACCACUGUGAAGGACAGCAAGAAGGUCCCGUCUAAGAAGCAGAGCUGGUGUGCCGGGGGCUCAGCAACAAGCCAUGUCUGGACAAGAAGUUGACAACGAGAUUCAAGACAAAGAAGAGGAAGUCCCGGGAGGGAAAAUAUUCAGGGUGGAAAUUCCUCUGCUUUACUGUCGUGAAAAUGAAAAGUGAGCCGUGGACUGGGAGAAAAAUAUGUGCAAAACAUAUCCAGUAAAAGACUUCUAUCUGGAUAUAGAAAAAAUUCUUAUAAUUCGAUAAGAAGAAGACAAAUGACCAAUUGAAAAGGAAGAUAUACAGAUGGCAUUUAGGUACAUGAAAGGAUACUCACUAGUCAUCAGGGAAAGGAAAAUUUAAAACCACAAGGAGAUAUUACUACUACCCAGUAGCAUGGCUAAAAUUAAAAAGACUGACCUACAAAGUGUUGGCAAAAAUGUGGAGAAAUUGAAAUUGUCAUGCACUGCUGGUAGGAAUGUAAAAUGGUAAAAACACUUUGGAAAACAAGUCAGAAGUUUCAUACAUAGUUAAACAUACACCUUCCCAACCAUAUAACCUAGCCAUUCGACUCCUGGGUAGAGAGAUGUGAUCAUAUAACCACCCAAAGACUUGUAGACCAAUGUUCAGAGUUGCUUUCUUUGUAAUAUCCCAAACAGAAACACUUCAAAUGUCCAUCACUAGAUCAAUGGAUAAACAAUUGUAGUAUAUUCUUACUGUGGUAUACUAUGCAACAAAAAGAAGGAAUGGACCAUCAAUUCAUGUGACAACAUGGAUGAAUCUUGAAAUAAUCGUGCUGAGUGAAACAAACCAGACAAAAAAGAGUAAUAUUGUAUGAUUCACUUAUAUAAAAUUCUAGAAACUACAAACCUAUCUAGAGGGCUAUAAAGCAGAUCAGUGGUUGCCUGAAGGUGAGGAAGGGGUGAGAGGCGAGAAAGCAGAGGGUUACUGGGGGUAACAGGAAACUUUUGGGGGUGAUGAAAAUGUUCCUUAUCUUGGGUGUGCUGAUGGAUUCAUGAGAGUACACAUAUGCCAAAUUCAUCAAGUUAGACACUUUAUGCACGUACAGUUUGUUGUGCUUAUAUUGUAUAUUAAGAUAGCAUUCUAAAAAAGAAAUGACCAUAUCUCCAAAGUCUCCAUUAUUAAAUUACAACAAGAUCUAAAUUUCUACUUUAAUUCAAAAUUCCAGUGUGUACCCACAUGAAAUGUGAAAUCAUAAUUGAGACAUCAAAAAAUAGUGACAUUAACCUACUAUACCACAAAAACUGGAAGCAUACCUGAGUCCAUUUAUAUUUAAAGGAUGAGUUAGAUGAAAGGAGUAUUAUGAUGGAGCAGAAGACAAAAUCAUUAGUUGACAACAGUCCAGGAAAAUGUCCUAAAAUAUGAAUGCCUGAGUUAAAACUCCAGUCCCAACAAUUACUGUUCUGAAGGAUUGUAAUCAAUUAUUUCAACAUCUGUGAGCCUAAAGAAUUUUUAUAAAAUAUAUAAAAUAGUAAUACUAAAAAUGUCUACAACAUAGUAUGUAGUAAGGUCAAAUGGGAAAAAACAUGAAAUUUUUUAUAAAACUAUAAGGCAUGUAAGUAAGUAACCAUAUUCUGAGUAUAACAAUUACUGCGUGCCAGGCAGCAUCCUGAGAGCUUUUUCCUCAUGUACUCUUUCCAACAGCCUGUGAGGUAAGUCUUGUGAUUUCGCCCACACUGUGGAUGCGCAUAGCGGGGAUUAGUGACGUUAGGUAAUCUCCUCACGGGCAUAUAUCUGGCAUGUUGUGGGGCUGUGGUUUUCACCACAUUUCUCAGACUCCACAGCCCUUACUUGUGAGCAUUGCAUAAGAGUGCCUUCUCCUGUGAUGUAUGCAUGAGAGGAUGCAUAAGUAGAUGCAUCCACACCUUAGGAGGCCGGAUUCCCCACUGCAUUGGCUUUUCCAAGCUCUGUGGAAUGUGAUGCUGGCUAGAACUUAUUACAAAGUGCUCCCAUGUAGAGUAGAUCUGGUAUAAAGUGGGUCUUCAAAUCCCCUCCCUAGACAAACAGGUAGGUGGAGACCAUCUCCGCUAACAGAAUAGAGAAUAGUGCCAUUCUUGUGAAAAAGUAAUACUGUGUGCAUGUUUAUUCCUAAAUCCAUAGUAGCCAUUUUAACUAUCAAAAGGAGGGCGCCCAGAUGAAAGAGUGGCCUCCCAUGGAGCACAGCUGGAUGGAGGGGAAGAAACAGGAAGCGGGUUUACUUCUGGAACACCUGGCUUUGUUUAUCAGGUCCCUUAUGGAGGCAUUUCUGUUUCAUUCACCCAUUCAUUUUCCUACUCAUUCUCCUAUAUUCUGCUUUUUUGAAAACUUUUCCAACUCUCCUCUUCUGCUUCAUAUUCUUCUUACACUGACUGCUCAUUGAUGAUUUAAUUAAAUGUAUCUAGUAUCUUGAACUAGCCAAUAAAUAGUCAUAAAAAUAAAAUGGGGAAAUGAGAAUGAAUAGUAGCUUAAAAUGAUAUCCAGCCAACUUUCAAUUUCCCUAUUAUGCUGGCAAAAACAGAGACUAAUUACAAAAAAAGACUCGAAAUAAAUCAUUACAAAUAUUACUUUAACCCUCUCUCUUAACCACCUGUUUAACAAUUAAUAAUACAUAUUCUAUUAGACUGUCACUUACUGAGUUUCAAAAUGGGCAAACAAAUAAUAAGAGGUAAAGAGAAAAAUUAAGCAACAGGAGAAAUAAGACAAACUAUAUGCUGUACUAUAUUAUGUUAUAUACAUUACGUAAUUGUAUGUCAUGUUUAAUAUUUAAUUAUGUGCUAUAUAUUCCAGAGGGUUAUGAUUUAUGUGUUAUAUAUUAAUAUGUAACAUAUAUUACGCUAUAGAAUAAAUUGAAUUAUGAUUUGAAUGUGUGUGAUAUUUAUUUCUAUAAUUUAGUUUAAAGAGCAAAACUCCAUCGCAAAGACCCUUAGUGAAUUUCAUUGAUUUGUUAACAUCACGAAUCCAACUAAAUAUGCUCCGAAGUGCUUCUCUAUCGAUGUAACAGAAAAAAUUCCUAUUAUCAUAAAGGAAUUGUGCUGUGCAUAUAUUUCAGUCCAAAUCUUUACUUCACCUUGUGUAACAUUAUUUGAUGUUUCUCCCAAUUUUCCAGAGGAAAGAUUGUUUUUUCUUUCUGCUUUUUCUCCCCAAAUCCCCCCAGUACAUAGUUGUAUAUUUUAGUUGUGGGUCCUUCUAGUUGUGGCACGUGGGAUGCCGCCUCAGCGUGACCUGAUGAGUGGUGCCAUGUCCACACCCAGGAUCCGAACCAGUGACACCCUGGGCCGCCACAGCGGAGCGUGUGAACUCAACCACUUGGCCUCGGGGCCGGCCCAGAGGAAAGAUUUUAAACGCAAGACUUCGAUCUUAGGCUUUAGGAAAGCCUGCUGGCUCUCUCCCUACCAUGUAUCCCAUUGCACAUGUGCCCUGUAGAGUGUGGAACUGCCUUCUUUGGGAAAAGAGCAAGAAUGCCACCAAGGUACAUAAGGUGGAGAUAUUCAAGUUUAUCUCCAUAUAGUAAAGGAAGCUGAAAUCUGGGUUAAUUAUUAAAACAAGCUCACUUUUGGUUGCACUUGCUUGAGAAUUUCCGUUUCAAGCGUGCUGAGUGGCUUGAGUGAGAUUUAAGUUUCUGUGUAUUUUUAGAUAUGCAGCAUUAAGACCCUUUUGUGUGUUUGGGGAAUUCCCCGGUUAGGUGUUGGUGGGAAGCGGGCCCAGCUCCCACUACUGAAACUGGAAGGGACAAGUUUUCUGCUUCCCACCUCCUAGCCAGGAUACAAGCAUGUGGCCUGGGCUCAGCCAAUGGGGUUUUUAAACUGAAGUCAGUGAUCAGAGCGGAGCCCAGAACCACCAACUCACGCAGGCGCAGGGCCGAC